rnacentral:misc_RNA from 1 species
GAUGAAGAACGUAGUGAAAUGCGAUAACUAAUGUGAAUUGCAGAAUUCCGUGAAUCAUCGAGUCUUUGAACGCACAUUGCGCCCCCUGGUAUUCCGGGGGGCAUGCCUGUCCGAGCGUCAUUGCUGCCCAUCAAGCACGGCUUGUGUGUUGGGUCCUCGUCCCCCCCGGGGGACGUGCCCGAAAGGCAGCGGCGGCACCGCGUCCGGUCCUCGAGCGUAUGGGGCUUUGUCACCCGCUCUGCAGGCCCGGCCGGCGCUGGCCGACGCGAAAGCAACCAUUUUUUCUCCAGGUUGACCUCGGAUCAGGUAGGGAAACCCGCUGAACUUAAGCAUAUCAAUAAGCGGAGGA